GAUAUAAUUUUUUUCUUUUUAGCAACCUUUUUCUUUUUCGUCGUGACAGUACUAAUAUUCUCUUGACCCCUCGGAUUUUGAACUCUUUCACUUGGGAAGGAACCUGGUAUUCGAGAACUUGCUAGUUGUUGUGCUAUUUGCCCCAGUUGAACUUCAAGAUUCUUUAGAGAGGCGGUGGCGUUUUUCUGAUUGUUUCUCGUCUCUUCUUCAAAUUUCCUAUUUUGAGCUACCAUGUUUUUAAUAGCAAUCUCCCAA
rnacentral:lncRNA from 1 species